rnacentral:rRNA from 1 species
UACAGAGGCCACGAGCGUUAGGCGGAAUCACUGGGCUUAAAGCGUGUGUAGGUGGAUCGGUAAGUACCUUGUGAAAUCCCACGACUCAAUCGUGGAACUGCUUGGUAUACUGCCAGUCUUGAGGUACUCAGGGGCAAGCGGAACAGAUGGUGGAGCGGUGAAAUGCGUAGAUAUCAUCUGGAACGCCAAUGGUGAAGACAGCUUGCUGGGGGUAUUCUGACACUGAGACACGAAAGCCAGGGGAGCAAACGGG